rnacentral:rRNA from 1 species
UGGGAAUAUUGCACAAUGGGGGAAACCCGUAGAUGCAGCGACGCCGCGUGAACGAAGAAGUAUUUCGGUAUGUAAAGUUCUAUCAGCAGGGAAGAUAAUGACGGUACCUGACUAAGAAGCACCGGCUAAAUACGUGCCAGCAGCCGCGGUAAUACGUAUGGUGCAAGCGUUAUCCGGAUUUACUGGGUGUAAAGGGAGCGCAGGCGGUGCGGCAAGUCUGAUGUGAAAGCCCGGGGCUCAACCCCGGUACUGCAUUGGAAACUGUCGUACUAGAGUGUCGGAGGGGUAAGUGGAAUUCGUCGUGUAGCGGUGAAAUGCUUAGAUAUGACGAAGAACUCCGAUUGCGAAGGCAGCCUGCUGUAGCGCAAACUGACGCUGAAGCUCGAAAGCGUGGGUAUCGAACAGGAUUAGAUACCCUGGUAGU